rnacentral:rRNA from 1 species
AUUGAACGCUGGCGGCAGGCCUAACACAUGCAAGUCGAACGCGUGGCGGACGGGUGAGUAAUGUCUGGGAAACUGCCUGAUGGAGGGGGAUAACUACUGGAAACGGUAGCUAAUACCGCAUACCAUCAGAUGUGCCCAGAUGGGAUUCGCUAGUUGGUGGGGUAACGGCCCACCAAGGCGACGAUCCCUAGCUGGUCUGAGAGGAUGACCAGCAACACUGGACUUGAGACACGGUCCAGACUCCUACGCGAGGCAGCAGUGGGGAAUAUUGCACAAUGGGCGCAAGCCUGAUGCAGCCAUGCAGCGUGUAUCAAGAAGGCCAUCGGGUUGUAAAGUACUUUCAGCGGGGAGGCGUUACCCGCAGAAGAAGCACCGGCUAACUCCGUGCCAGCCGCCGCGGUAAUAC